rnacentral:rRNA from 1 species
UACAGAGGUGGCAAGCGUUGUUCGGAAUUACUGGGCGUAAAGGGCGCGUAGGCGGCCUUCUAAGUCGGACGUGAAAUCCCCAGGCUUAACUUGGGAACUGCGUCCGAUACUGGAAGGCUCGAGUGCGGGAGAGGGAUGUGGAAUUCCAGGUGUAGCGGUGAAAUGCGUAGAUAUCUGGAGGAACACCGGUGGCGAAGGCGGCAUCCUGGACCGACACUGACGCUGAGGCGCGAAAGCCAGGGGAGCAAACGGG